rnacentral:rRNA from 1 species
GACGAACGCUGGCGGCGUGCCUAAUACAUGCCAGUCGAACGAACCGCGACUAAGUGCUUGCACUAAGUCAAGGUGAGUGGCGAACGGGUGAGUAACACGUGGGUAACCUACCUCAUAGUGGGGGAUAACAGUCGGAAACGACUGCUAAUACCGCAUAGGACAUAGGAUCACAUGAUCCAGUGAGGAAAGGUGGCGCAAGCUAUCGCUAAGAGAUGGACCCGCGGUGCAUUAGCUAGUUGGUAGGGUAAAGGCCUACCAAGGCGAUGAUGCAUAGCCGACCUGAGAGGGUGAUCGGCCACAUUGGGACUGAGACACGGCCCAAACUCCUACGGGAGGCAGCAGUAGGGAAUCUUCCGCAAUGGACGCAAGUCUGACGGAGCAACGCCGCGUGAGUGAAGAAGGUCUUCGGAUCGUAAAGCCCUGUUGUUAGAGAAGAACAGCGCAUAGAGUAACUGCUAUGCGUGUGACGGUAGCUAACCAGAAAGCCACGGCUAACUACGUG